rnacentral:rRNA from 1 species
CUAGCGUUGUUCGGAAUUACUGGGCGUAAAGCGCGUGUAGGUGGUUGUUCAAGUUGGAUGUGAAAGCCUUGAGCUCAACUCAAGAAAUGCAUUCAGGACUGAGCGACUAGAGGACCGGAGAGGAUAGUGGAAUUCCCAGUGUAGUGGUGAAAUACGUAGAGAUUGGGAAGAACACCAGUGGCGAAGGCGGCUUUCUGGACCUAUACUGACGCUGAGGCGCGAAAGCGUGGGGAGCAAACAGG